AUGCCUUAAGGUGACUGGUGGAGG
rnacentral:piRNA from 1 species